rnacentral:rRNA from 1 species
AUUGAACGCUGGCGGCAGGCUUAACACAUGCAAGUCGAGCGGGGUGAUGGUGCUUGCACUAUCACUUAGCGGCGGACGGGUGAGUAAUGCUUAGGAAUCUGCCUAUUAGUGGGGGACAACAUCCCGAAAGGGAUGCUAAUACCGCAUACGUCCUACGGGAGAAAGCAGGGGAUCACUUGUGACCUUGCGCUAAUAGAUGAGCCUAAGUCGGAUUAGCUAGUUGGUGGGGUAAAGGCCUACCAAGGGGACGAUCUGUAGCGGGUCUGAGAGGAUGACCCGCCACACUGGGACUGCGACACGGCCCAGACUCCUACGGGAGGCAGCAGUGGGGAAUAUUGGACAAUGGGGGGAACCCUGAUCCAGCCAUGCCGCGUGUGUGAAGAAGGCCUUAUGGUUGUAAAGCACUUUAAGCGAGGAGGAGGCUCUUUUGGUUAAUACCCAAGAUGAGUGGACGUUACUCGCAGAAUAAGCACCGGCUAACUCUGUGCCAGCCGCCGCAGUAA